AUGCCACGGUGAAUACGUUCCCGGGCCUUGUACACACCGCCCGUCACACCAUGGGAGUGGGUUGCAAAAGAAGUAGGUAGCUUAACCUUCGGGAGGGCGCUUACCACUUUGUGAUUCAUGACUGGGGUGAAGUCGUAACAAGGUAACCGUAGGGGAACCUGCGGUUGGAUCACCUCCUUACCUGAAGA
rnacentral:rRNA from 1 species